CAGUAGCCGCGGUAACACGUAGGCAGCGAGCGUUGUUCGGAAUUACUGGGCGUAAAGAGUGUGUAGGCGGUGCUCUAAGUUCGGUGUGAAAUCUCCCGGCUUAACUGGGAGGGUGCGCCGGAAACUGGAAUGCUCGAGCGUGGGAGAGGAAAGCGGAAUUCCUGGUGUAGCGGUGAAAUGCGUAGAUAUCAGGAGGAACACCUGUGGUGUAGACGGCUUUCUGGACCAUAGCUGACGCUGAGACACGAAAGCGUGGGUAGCAAACAGGAUUAGAUACCCCGGUAGUCCCUGUCUCUUAUAC
rnacentral:rRNA from 1 species